UUUAGCGGAAGUGGAUAGAAUAGUAAUUGAUGCGAAAAAAAAAUUUAAUUUAGUUUGGAUAAAUUAAAGAAAAAGAAUUUAUGAAAUUUUUGUAUAAUUUCAAAAGCUGUGCCUUUAUACCUAUUAAGGAUAAUUGCAUAUGUACGAGGUCCCAACAAAUGGAAAACUCGGCUAAAUGCAAUUUUAUGUUGGGCCUAAAUAUCCGUGUUCUAUUAAUUUUACCGCUAAAGUUCUAUAUUUUACAAUAAACAAAGCUUUUUUGUUAAAAAAAAGUUAAACAAUCGUGUUUAAAAAAUUAAUUUUUUCUAUAAUAUAAGCAUUAAAAAAAUUGUAAUGGAAGCUAAUAUACAUAUGUACAUAAUAUUAUGUACAUUGAAGCCACUAGCUAUAAUUAUACACACAUUUAUGGAUAAAUAAAACAAACAACAAAUACUAUAUAUGAAUGUAUAUAAGAAGAAAUAGGAAAAAAAACAAACUGAAGAAAAAAACUAUAGUCGGCUUGUAUCGGAAUAAAAAAUAAGAAAAUCAAAAAAAGAAGAAGUAAUCAGCCAAGUUUUCAAUCUAAACAAAAAUAAAAACAAAACACAUUCCAGUUACAUACUGCGUUAUUUCAUCAUCACAUUCGUAUACAUAUAUGUACAUAUAACAAUUUUACAACUCAUUAGACACGAGUGUUAAGUGACUUAAGUUAUAAAAAUUUUUAUGUGGCAAAACAAUAAAUAUAAAAAGGUUGAUCCCCACAAUAUAUGCAAGAACUGAAUCGGAAGUAGGUGAAUCUUUGCAACAUUUGUGAACUGGACCGAGAGGACAAAAUAUGCUUGAACUGUAUGCUUGAGCUAGGUGAGUCCCAUCAACAUAUUCAACAAUUAGAUCCGAACCAGGUGGUACCCUGCAAUAUGCACUACGACUGGAUCUGAGUUAGGUGGAUCCCUACAAUACAUGCACUGACUGGAUCCGAAUUAGGUCAAUCCCACCAACAUAUUCAAGAAAUGGAGGCGUACUGAGUGUAUCCCUAAAAAAUAUACACAAAUUGGAUCAGAGCUAGGUGGAUCCCUUCAAUAUAUGCAAGAACUGAAUCGGAACUAGGUGAUUGUCUACAACUAUUGUGAACUAGAUCCGAGCUAGGUGGAUCCCUAGAAAAUAUGCAUGAACUGGAUCCGAAGUAGGUGAGUCCCAUCAAGACAUUCAACAACCCAAUCCGAGCUAGAUGGAUCCCUUCAAUAUACACAUUGGCUGGAUCCGAGCUAGGUGGAUCCCAUAAACAAAUUUGACAAUUGGAUACGAGCUAGGUGGAUUCCCACAAUUUAUGCUCGGUGAGUCCCAUCAACUACUCAACAAUCGGAUCCGAGCUAGGUGGAUCCCUGCAAUAUAUACAUGAGCUGAACCCGAACCAGGUGGAUUCGUGCAAUAUAUACAUGGACUGGAUCCGAACUAGAUAGAUUCCUGUAAUAUAUACAUGGAUUGGAUCUGAGCUGGGUGGAUCCCAUCAACAAAUUCAAUAACCGGAUACGAACUAUGUAGAUUCGUAUAAUUUAUGCAUGAAUCGGUUCCGAGCUAGGUGGAUCCAGCUGCUGCAAUACAUAUCACAUGUAGUAUUUAUACGGAAUAAAGUUGAAAAGUGAAGGAAGGAAGUGUAUAGUUUGCUGGGAACAAAAUUCUAAAAAAAUUACCAAAAAUUCUCAUAGAGCAUAGAACAUAGAGCAUUAUAUUAUUGCUGCUUUGUUUAAUCUUAUUAAAUAUGUAAUUUAUACUUUAAAUGCCUGUGAAAAGUGUACCUUGUUUAAUUUAUUCAGGUGUUCACUGUACUCAGAUUGAUACACUUAUUAGUAUAAUAGUGCAGUUUGCUAAUUUAUUUCUUUCUUGGUAUCAAGAUUUUAUGAAAAUAAGAUUAAUCGUUCCGUGUUAUCGCUUCUGACCUAUCUGGCUCAACAUUCUUGUUCUAGAGGAUUCUCGCUUCAAAUAGAGCAAGGUAUUCUUACAAUAAAUAGGUAUUUUAUGACCAUAAUAAAUGAUUAAAUGCAAAACAAAUCUUAUUCCAAAAACUUUAUUAAUUUUUUUUUCCAGUAAAUUUAAAUGUUAUAAGCCAGAUUUUAAAUUUAUAAUA